ACGCGCUGCCUUUGAGCCCCCGCCGCCCGCAGGGGUCUAGCUGCGGCGCCACAGUACGCUCUCGCGCAUAACUGGGGUCGCUUGGCCCGCUGCGGGCGGCCCCUUUAACCGGGAGCCACAUCG
ensembl:snoRNA